UCAAGUAAUGAAGUGCACAUGGUGGAUGCCUUGGCAGUCAGAGGCGAUGAAAGACGUGAUAGCCUGCGAUAAGCGUCGGUGAGGUGGCAAUAUCCUGUGACCCGGCGAUUUCUGAAUGGGGAAACCCAGCCAACAUAAGUUGGCUAUCCUAACCUUUGGUUAGGAGGCAAACCGGGAGAAGUGAAACAUCUCAGUACCCCGAGGAAAAGACAUCAAUUGAGAUUCCCCAAGUAGCGGCGAGCGAACGGGGAGGAGCCGAUCGAAUUUACAGUAGCAAAAUGGCGUGGGAAAGCCAACCACAGUAGGUGAUAGUCCUGUAUGCGAAACUGUUUAUGAGACAUAUUAAGUAGGGCGAGACACGUGAAAUCUUGUCUGAAGAUGGGGGGACCAUCCUCCAAGGCUAAAUACUCCUGACUGACCGAUAGUGAACCAGUACCGUGAGGGAAAGGCGAAAAGAACCCCUGUUAGGGGAGUGAAAUAGAACCUGAAACCGUGUGCAUACAAGCAGUCGGAGCGGACUUGUUCCGUGACGGCGUACCUUUUGUAUAAUGGGUCAGCGACUUAUAUUCUGUAGCAAGGUUAACCGUUUAGGGGAGCCCUAGGGAAACCGAGUCUUAAUAGGGCGAUAUAGUUGCAGGGUAUAGACCCGAAACCGAGUGAUCUAUCCAUGAGCAGGUUGAAAGUGCCGUAACAGGCACCGGAGGACCGAACCCACUGUCGUUGAAAAGCCAGGGGAUGACUUGUGGAUAGGGGUGAAAGGCUAAUCAAACUCGGUGAUAGCUGGUUCUCCCCGAAAGCUAUUUAGGUAGCGCCUCGGACGAAUACCAUUGGGGGUAGAGCACUGUUUCGGCUAGGGGGUCAUCCCGACUUACCAAACCGAUGCAAACUCCGAAUACCGAUGAGUACUAUCCGGGAGACAGACGGCGGGUGCUAACGUCCGUCGUCAAGAGGGAAACAACCCAGACCGCCAGCUAAGGCCCCAAAUUCCUAGUUAAGUGGGAAACGAUGUGGGAAGGCACAGACAGCUAGGAGGUUGGCUUAGAAGCAGCCACCCUUUAAAGAAAGCGUAAUAGCUCACUAGUCGAGUCGGCCUGCGCGGAAGAUGUAACGGGGCUCAAACUAGGAGCCGAAGCUGCGGAUUUAAUUGUUUCAAUUAAGUGGUAGGGGAGCGUUGUGUAAGCCUGUGAAGGUGCAUCGUAAGGUGUGCUGGAGGUAUCACAAGAGCGAAUGCUGACGUGAGUAACGACAAAACGGGUGAAAAGCCCGUUCGCCGGAAGACCAAGGGUUCCAGUCCAACGUUAAUCGGGGCUGGGUGAGUCGACCCCUAAGGCGAGGCCGAAAGGCGUAGUCGAUGGGAAAUCGGUUAAUAUUCCGAUACUUGUUUAUGAUGCGAUGGAGGGACGGAGAAGGUUAUGUCAGCCUGGCGUUGGUUGUCCAGGUGGAAGGAUGUAGUUAGGUUUAGUAGGCAAAUCCGCUAGACUAUUAAUGAGAUCUGAUAGCAAGCCAGUUUACUGGCGAAGUGGCAAAUACCCUGCUUCCAGGAAAAGCUUCUAAGCGAUAGUCAUAAAGAAAUCGUACCCGAAACCGACACAGGUGGUCAGGUAGAGAAUACCAAGGCGCUUGAGAGAACUCUGCUGAAGGAACUAGGCAAAAUGGUACCGUAACUUCGGGAGAAGGUACGCUGCCGAUGGUGAUAAGACUUGCUCUUUGAGCUGUUGGCAGUCGCAGAUACCAGGCUGCUGCAACUGUUUAUUAAAAACACAGCACUCUGCAAACACGAAAGUGGACGUAUAGGGUGUGAUGCCUGCCCGGUGCUGGAAGGUUAAUUGAUGGGGUUAGCGUAAGCGAAGCUCUUGAUCGAAGCCCCAGUAAACGGCGGCCGUAACUAUAACGGUCCUAAGGUAGCGAAAUUCCUUGUCGGGUAAGUUCCGACCUGCACGAAUGGCAUAAUGAUGGCAGCGCUGUCUCCAGCAGAGACUCAGUGAAAUCGAAAUCGCAGUGAAGAUGCUGUGUACCCGCGGCUAGACGGAAAGACCCCGUGAACCUUUACUACAGCUUUACAUUGAACUUUGACCUAACUUGUGUAGGAUAGGUGGGAGGCUUUGAAGUGGUGACGCCAGUUGCCAUGGAGCCAACCUUGAAAUACCACCCUGGUUAUGUUGGGGUUCUAACUUGAGAUUAACAGAUCUAAGGACAAUGUAUGGUGGGUAGUUUGACUGGGGCGGUCUCCUCCUAAAGAGUAACGGAGGAGUACGAAGGUGCGCUCAGAACGGUCGGAAAUCGUUCAAAGAGUAUAAAGGCAAAAGCGCGCUUAACUGCGAGACCCACAAGUCGAGCAGGUACGAAAGUAGGUCUUAGUGAUCCGGUGGUUCUGUAUGGAAGGGCCAUCGCUCAACGGAUAAAAGGUACUCUGGGGAUAACAGGCUGAUACCGCCCAAGAGUUCAUAUCGACGGCGGUGUUUGGCACCUCGAUGUCGGCUCAUCUCAUCCUGGGGCUGAAGCAGGUCCCAAGGGUAUGGCUGUUCGCCAUUUAAAGAGGUACGCGAGCUGGGUUUAGAACGUCGUGAGACAGUUCGGUCCCUAUCUACCGUGGGCGUUGGAAAUUUGAGAGGAUCUGCUCCUAGUACGAGAGGACCAGAGUGGACGAACCUCUGGUGUUCCGGUUGUUUCGCCAGAAGCACUGCCGGGUAGCUACGUUCGGAUCGGAUAACCGCUGAAAGCAUCUAAGCGGGAAGCCGACCUCAAGAUAAGAUUUCCCUAAAGAGCCGUUGUAGACUACGACGUUGAUAGGUUGGGUGUGGAAGCAUGGUGACAUGUGUAGCUAACCAAUACUAAUUGCUCGUUUGGCUUGACCAU
rnacentral:rRNA from 1 species